UUGGAGCUAGGAUCCAAAGUCCAGUCUCGAUAGGACUUACUUGCCUUCCAGAGGACAGGGGUAGCUGCAGGGGAUGGUCCCAGAGCUUUGCACAAACUGGGUCCUCGGUAGAAAUAGUAGGAGCUUGGGAUACAGAAUAACACAACCAGUUUCUUUAGGAGAGGGAGUUCCCUAGGGGCGGAGCUGUGUACCUGGUCAACCUGACUGUAUCCUGGACUCCGGUGAAUCUGGGUUGACUUUGGACAGGGUCAUUGGAAUGAUCUAACUACCUUACCUGCUAUUUGAACUGGCUGAGCUCUGGAAGGACAGAAAACAAAAGAAGGGUGUUGAAAUGCAAAUAGACAGCUCUAAAUUCCAGUCCUGGGCUGCCAAAAUAGAGCCAAAACUGACAAGGAGGGUCUCCACAGAGGUCUGUGGAAAGCUCUAGAAAAAUCUCACAAGAUGUAUUCCUUUUCGUGAAUUGGAGUCCUCCGGUAGUAAUCUCUACACCAACA